GAUGAACGCUAGCGGCAGGCCUAAUACAUGCAAGUCGAGGGAGAAUGUUGGAUUCGUCUGACAUGAAACCGGCGCACGGGUGCGUAACACGUAUGCAACCUACCUUUAACCGGGGUAUAGCUCAGAGAAAUCUGAAUUAAUCCCCCAUAAGACUACGACAUGGCAUCAUGAUGUAGUUAAAGCUCAGGCGGUUAAGGAUGGGCAUGCGGUACAUUAGCUAGUUGGUGAGGUAAUGGCUCACCAAGGCUACGAUGUAUAGGGGGUCUGAGAGGAUGAUCCCCCACACUGGUAAUGAGACACGGACCAGACUCCUACGGGAGGCAGCAGUAGGGAAUAUUGGUCAAUGGACGCAAGUCUGAACCAGCCAUGCCGCGUGAAGGAUGAAGGCCCUAUAGGUCGUAAACUUCUUUUAUUAGGGAAGAAAAAACGGGAUGCGUCCUGUACUGACGGUACUUAAUGAAUAAGGAUCGGCUAACUUCGUGCCAGCCGCCACGGUAA
rnacentral:rRNA from 1 species